GCCAGCAGCCAUAAUCACCCUGCAACUCACAACUGGCAACCCACUGAAGCUAAGCAGGCGUGAGCCUGGCUAGUACCUGGAGGGGAGGCCUCCUGGGAAAAACUAAGGUUGCUGCUGGAA
rnacentral:rRNA from 1 species